ensembl:lncRNA
ACCACCUGCUCUCGAGAAGGGGGGGCGGCGGUAAAGAAUCGGGGGCUGGAAGAAGGAAAGAACGCCGAGUGUGAAUGCUACAGAGGUGUUCAAGAACCAGGCUUGGAAGCCUGGCGGGCUCAGGAGGCAUCAGAGAACCAGAGAGGGAGUCUGCUUUCAACUUCGUUAUGCUGUUCCAAUCCUGAUCAACCCCAGAGGUGACAUCAGAAGCCGGUUUCCUCUCACGAGGGUGGGUUCAUUUCUUGAAAAAUGCCAAUUAAAGAAAAAGAAAGAAACAUGGGAGUCCAACACCAGGGGAACAAUUCAGAAAGUUUUACAGCACUUCCUCUCCAGGAUGUAUGCCGAAAUCUUUUAAGGGAAAUUAUAAACAUCGUGAGGUGGAGUGCCCCCAGGAGGGUGCCAGGCCAGGCGAAGAUGCUCUGCUAUUCUAAAUACGUUCCAGGGGCCAUGCAGACUUGGACAAUAAAAAUAAUGGACUGAAGAUCGGAAGUACUUUCCGCCACGCUCACCCUUCGUGACGAAUUUACUGAGCGCCCGCCCGCAGGCCAGGGCCGUGAGAAGCAGAGAAGGAAAACACCAACUCCUUGCCCUAUAGGACUUAAUAGCUAACUCAUAGACACUGUUGUCGCUCAGCUGUCAAACAACACUACCAAAUGGGUGCUAUUAUCAGCAUCUCUGGCGGAUGAAGAAACUGAGGCAUAACCAAGGCCGCCCAGAGCGCCCAGGUGGCUCAGCGUUUAAGCAUCUGACUUCUGCUCAGGUCACGAACUCACCGUUUGUGGGUUCACACUGAGUGAGUUUGAGCCCCGCAUCAGGUAGAAUACAAGGCCCACUUCAGGUGAGGCCCAGCUUUCCCUACCCCCCCCCCCUUUCUCUCUCUCUGUCCCUCACUCACUUGCGCCCUCUGAAUAAAUAAAUAAAUAAAUAAAUAAAUAACCAAGGCCACCCAAAGUAGUAAGAGGCAGGGUUUUGAAUCUGGGCUGUCAGGUUCCUGAAUCCACACUGUUGGCCACAAACCAUAUCGCCCAUCUAGUUUAGUGAGGGAUGGACAGGUAAAUAAAUAAUUCACACAGAGCACAAUGGUCGAAGCACGAAGUACCAUGGCAGCACAAGAAGGAGACCCUGACAGCUCAGGAUCUGAGGAGGGAUGGGGAGAGAGGUAUCUCCUGAAUGAGAUGACACCUGGACAGCGCUGGAAAGCAUGAAUCGGUGCCAGCUGGGAACAGAAGAGAGGGGAGAGAACUCUGGCCACAUAAGCACGGUAUUGGGAAGUGGGGGCGGGGCCUAAACACCAUAGCGUCACUAGAGAAUAAAAUGCCAGGGGGGAGGUGGGACACAGUUUGCUCGACAAAUGUUUGUUGGGCCUCUUAUAUGUGCAGGACUGUGCUUAUUGCCGAGGGUAUAGCAGGGACAGGGUGUCCAAGGAGCCUGAACUUGAGCUUUCGAACAUUUUGCUCCCCUAACUUACUAAAGUAACUCUAAAACUACCCCCAUGCGAAACAUUCAACACACUGGAAAAGGAAGGGAACUUCCUCAAUCUGAUAAAGGGCAUCUCUGAAAACCCCCACAGCUAACAUCGUAUUUAAUGGUGAGAGACUGAAUGCCUUCCCUGUAAGGUCAAGAAUAAGACAGGGAUGUCCGCUCUUACCACUUCUCUUCAGUAUUGAACUGGAGGUUCCAGCUAGAGUCACUAGGCAAGAAAAUCAAAUAAAAGCAAACAAAUUGGAAAGGAAAUUGACACUUUACAAUAAGAGUGUUACAGGGGCACCUGGGUGGCUCAGUUGGUUGGGAGUCUGACUCUUGAUUUUGGCUCGGGUCAAGAUCUCAUGGUAGUGGGAUCGAGCCCCCGCCUCAUCAGGCUCCGCGCUGAGUGUGGAGCUUGCUUGGGAUUCUCUCCCUCUCACUGCCCCCUCUCACCGCGCGUGCUUUCUCAAAAUAAAUAAACAUUUUUAAAAAUAAAAGUGUUACAUCAGCUUUGAAUGCCAUCCAGCGGAGUUUAAAUACUACAGCAGUUUGAUGCCCACCAUCAUCCAUUUAUAUGUAAAUAAAGUAAAACGACUUUGUUAACUACAAGAAACGCUACGUUAUUCCUUUUUCUCCUUGAAUUUGCGUUUUUAUUCCAUUUUACUCUUGCAGAAGUUUAUCCUCAAGUAGUGUAAUUUUAUGCCUGAAAGUUCUUAUUGAUCAUCCUAUGAUAAUUCUUU